UUAUAAUGGCCUCAGUUUCCUUGCUGA
rnacentral:piRNA from 1 species